GUCUCCCAGAUAAUCAGCAGCACGCAGUGAGCAGUGGGACUAACUGGGUCCCUCCACCAAUCAGAAGUGGUUGGGGAUGAGUGCAUAGUGAAAAGAGCAAGAUUAAAGGAGCUAUUGUGCUGCAUACUUUCACUGCAAUUCAGGGGCCUAAAAUUAUGUAGACCACCAAGAUGGAACAGUAAAUCAGAAUUAACAAGUUUCAAUACAUGUUAAAGAAAGAGUAUCACCUCCUGAAAGGAGGAAAAAUAUUACAGAACAUGGAAUAUUAAUACAGAAUCUCUGCUUGUCUUCCUGCCCACCGUACAAACAACUGAAUCUUGGAGUCCAGGGCUUCCUGACCACACAGAAGCCAUCACAA